UACGAAGGGGGCUAGCGUUGCUCGGAAUCACUGGGCGUAAAGCGCACGUAGGCGGCUUUCUAAGUCAGGGGUGAAAUCCUGGAGCUCAACUCCAGAACUGCCUUUGAUACUGGAGAGCUAGAGUCCGGAAGAGGUGAGUGGAACUGCGAGUGUAGAGGUGAAAUUCGUAGAUAUUCGCAAGAACACCAGUGGCGAAGGCGGCUCACUGGUCCGGUACUGACGCUGAGGUGCGAAAGCGUGGAGAGCAAACAGG
rnacentral:rRNA from 1 species